CCUACGGGGGGCAGCAGUGGGGGAUAUUGCACAAUGGGGGGAACCCUGAUGCAGCGACGCCGCGUGGGUGAAGAAGCGCCUCGGCGCGUAAAGCCCUGUCAGCAGGGAAGAAAAUGACGGUACCUGAAGAAGAAGCCCCGGCUAACUACGUGCCAGCAGCCGCGGUAAUACGUAGGGGGCAAGCGUUAUCCGGAUUUACUGGGUGGAAAGGGGGCGCAGACGGCGAUGCAAGCCAGGAGGGAAAGCCCGGGGCCCAACCCCGGGACUGCGCUUGGAACUGCGUGGCUGGAGUGCAGGAGGGGCAGGCGGAAUUCCUGGUGUAGCGGUGAAAUGCGUAGAUAUCAGGCGGAACACCGGUGGCGAAGGCGGCCUGCUGGACUGCAACUGACGUUGAGGCCCGAAAGCGUGGGGAGCAAACAGGAUUAGAUACCCUGGUAGUC
rnacentral:rRNA from 1 species